CUUCAGCGAGCCCAGCCACAGCGGCUUCCCCGGCGCACGGCCCUGCCCGUAGGUCGCCAGGAGCGCCUGGGCCUC
rnacentral:antisense_RNA from 1 species